AGAGUUUGAUCAUGGCUCAGAUUCAACGCUGGCGGUAUGCUUAACACAUGCAAGUCGAACGGUAACAGUCCCUCACCUAGAAAUUUCUUAAAAAGAGAUUUGUAGGUGAGGGAGCUGACGAGUGGCGGACGGGUGCGUAAUGUAUAGGAAUCUGCCUAGUAGUGGGGGACAACUCGGAGAAAUUCGAGCUAAUACCGCAUAAGCCCUACGGGGGAAAACGGGGGAUCUUCGGACCUCGUGCUAUUAGAUGAGCCUAUAUUAGAUUAGCUUGUUGGUGAGGUAAUGGCUCACCAAGGCGACGAUCUAUAGCUGGUCUGAGAGGAUGAUCAGCCACACUGGGACUGAGACACGGCCCAGACUCCUACGGGAGGCAGCAGUGGGGAAUAUUGGACAAUGGGCGAAAGCCUGAUCCAGCAAUACCGCGUGUGUGAAGAAGGCCUGAGGGUUGUAAAGCACUUUCAAUUGGGAGGAAUACCUAAUAGUUAAUAGCUAUUAGAUUGAC
rnacentral:rRNA from 1 species